UACGGAGGGGGCUAGCGUUGUUCGGAAUUACUGGGCGUAAAGCGCACGUAGGCGGAUUGGAAAGUCAGAGGUGAAAUCCCAGGGCUCAACCUUGGAACUGCCUUUGAAACUCCCAGUCUUGAGUUCGAGAGAGGUGAGUGGAAUUCCGAGUGUAGAGGUGAAAUUCGUAGAUAUUCGGAAGAACACCAGUGGCGAAGGCGACACACUGGCCCGUUACUGACGCUGAGGCGCGAAAGCGUGGGGAGCAAACAGG
rnacentral:rRNA from 1 species